AUUGAACGCUGGCGGCAUGCCUUACACAUGCAAGUCGAACGGUAACAGGUCUUCGGAUGCUGACGAGUGGCGAACGGGUGAGUAAUGCAUCGGAACGUGCCCAGUAGUGGGGGAUAGCCCGGCGAAAGCCGGAUUAAUACCGCAUACGACCUGAGGGUGAAAGGGGGGGAUCGCAAGACCUCUAGCUAUUGGAGCGGCCGAUGUCAGAUUAGCUAGUUGGUGGGGUAAAGGCCUACCAAGGCAACGAUCUGUAGUUGGUCUGAGAGGACGACCAGCCACGCUGGGACUGAGACACGGCCCAGACUCCUACGGGAGGCAGCAGUGGGGAAUUUUGGACAAUGGGCGCAAGCCUGAUCCAGCAAUGCCGCGUGCAGGAAGAAGGCCUUCGGGUUGUAAACUGCUUUUGUCAGGGAAGAAAUCUUCUGGGUUAAUACCUCGGGAGGAUGACGGUACCUGAAGAAUAAGCACCGGCUAACUACGUGCCAGCCGCCGCAGUAAGAC
rnacentral:rRNA from 1 species